UUUGCGGUCCCCGCGUCGAAGCUGCGGUAACCAGUAAGAGCGUAUCUCGUUGCAGACAACGUAUUCUGUCGUCACUGCACCCUCCAAUUAACAAGAGGUUGCUCAACCCAGUACCCGUAGACUGCGACCAAAAUGUAAGCCGCAGAUAUAGUUAUCAAAUUAUGAGGGCAAGGAUUCUUUGCGGUUCGUGGAAUGGCGUCUGAAGCCCGAGUGUCUGCAAUCCAGUCUUGUCUUCACUACGUCCUUUGCCAUGAAGAACCUUUUGAAGAGUGCAGAGAACUAGUAUCUCCUUGCAAAAAGAGACCAAGGAAGGACAGAUAGAAAUGGUACUCAGAAUUCACAGACAGUGACAAGGAGGUAGGAGUACUGAGAUUCAGAGAGGUGAAUUAAAUUGCCCAGGCUCACACAGCAAAUAAGUGGUAAAGCCAAGAUUUGAACCCUUGUUUAAACAAGUCUAAAGCCUCAACUGUUGUAUACUACCUGGGGAGAAAACUCUGGAGUCAUUACAAAGGAAGACCCACUCACCUGUUCCUUCCAGCAACCUCCAGAAAGAGGCGAAGGGAGUGAGAUCGGGAGAGAAACAUCGAUGUGCAAGAGGAACAUCAAUCAGUAGCCUCUCGCAUGCCUCCAACGGGGGACCUGGCCCGAAACCCAGGCAUGUGCCCUGACCGGGAAUCAAACCCGUAACCUUCCAGUUAGUGGAACAAUGCCCAGCCCACUGAGCCACACCAGUCAGGGCUGUCCAACAUAUUUUGAGGUCUGGAAGAACUGGCAUUUGUCAAGGGACAAUUUAGGCUGGGUUUCCCACGUGAUCCAGUAAUAUAAGAAGUCAUCAUUCCUCUCCUCCAAAGCAUUGCCAAACGUAAUGAUCUCAUCUAAACAAAUAAGCACCUUCAAGGUAAUUCAUAUUGCCAGUUGCUUUUUCCCUCAGACUCCUGAAGGUGUCUGGGGAUCCAAAGAUGUGUGGGCCGGCCUUUGAAAUAGGUAAAGCCCCAGUCAGCCAUAGAGAUUCAUCAACAGCACUUUUCAAACACAGUAGUGGAAAUUAUGGAUUCCCUACUGUGUAGUCUAGAGGCUAAUGUGGACACAGAACUCUCUCUAAGGCACAGAAAGAUAACAGAACAUUGAUUCCCCCCCUGUUCUGAGUCUGCCCUUACCAUGAAUUUUCCUUCUUCCUUUUUGCAUAUUUGUAUGUUCAGCUCAAUGGUAGUUCUUAACCCUGACAGCCUAUUGUAAUCUAUGGAGUUUGUUCUCAAACAUCUACCCCUGGGCCCCAUUUACCCCUAGAGAUCCUGACAUUUUCUAAACACCUAUUUUAUGGGAGGCCCUACACCUGCCCUAGGAGUAGAGGUGAUUGAGUUAUGGUCUUUGUUUCCAUGUAAGCUCACAGUCCGGGGCAGAGGCAGAAAAUUUAAAAAGUACUAUUCAGUGAGAAAAUACAGCAUAACUCCAGUUCUUUUCUUAAUCUAGCUUGUUUCUCAUAAAACUGUACAUGUGUGGGUGAGGUAAACAUGGAUUUGUACAACAAGUCCUAGUGCAGAGGAUGAAGAGGCUUUCUCAGGUUCUUGGGUGCCAUAAAUUGAGAUUUAAAAAAUAUGUAAACUGUUCAUGAAUAUACAUAGAAAUUUUAUUUGUAAUAGACAAAAACUGGAAACAUCCAGAUGCUCUUCAGUGGAUGAACGGUUCAAUGAAGUGGUGCAUCCAUACCUUAGAAUAGUACUUAGUAAGAAAAAAAAAAGGAAUGAACUAUUGAUACAUGUGGCAAACUGGAUGAAUCUCUAGACAGUUUGUGCUGAGUGAAAAAGGCUAAUCCUGAAAGGUUACGUAUUGUGUGUUUCUAUUUGUAUACUAUUCUUGAAAUGACAAAAUUACAGAGGUAGAAGAAUGUUUAGUGGUUACUAGGGGUUAGGGAAUUGGAGAGGGAUCCUGGUGGUGAUGAAAAUGUUCUACAUCUUGAUUGUGGUGGUGCUUAUGCAAGGCUACACAUGCGAUAAAAUUAUAUAGAGCUAAACACCCACCCCCACACACCCAGACACAAAUGUGUGCAUGUAUAACUGUUGAAAUCUGAGUAAGCACUGUGGAUUAUACCAAUGUCAAUUUCUUAGUUUUGGUAUUACAUUAUAGCAGUAUAAGAUGCAAAGGUCGGGGAAUACUGAGGAAAGGAUGCAUGGGGCUUCCCUAUACAUUUCUUGCAGCUUCCUUUGAAUGUACAAUUAUUUAAAAACAUAAUAGCAUAAGAAGUUACUAAUCAGAAGUAAAAAUGAUUAUAAGUGUUAAACACAUUUAUAAAUGCAAAACCACAAAUGGAUACAUGGGGAGAAGAUGGCAGUAUCAUUCCUCUUGGAUGUUAUAAGAAAGACAGUCUUCUCAGGGAAUAUUACAUUUAAAAAGUAGAUGUUUCAUUGUUUCUUCCAAUUAAGAAAAGAAUGUUUCUUUUGGAUAGUUAGAAUAGAUAACUCAGGAAAGGUCACUAGUAAUCCUAUCAUUUUGAGAUAACCAUUUUUUCAACAUUUAGGAUACAUCUUUUUAAAAAUAUAUUUUAUUGAUUAUGCUAUUGCAGUUGUCCCAUUUCCCCCCCCCUUCACUCCCCUCCACACUGCACGCCCCCUCCUACCCACCUUUCUCCCCUUUAGUUCAUGUCCAUGGGUCAUAAAUAUAAGUUCUUUGGCUUCUACAUUUCCUAUACUAUUCUUAACCUCCCCUGUCUAUUCUUCUACCUACCAUCUAUGCUACUUGUUCUCUGUACCUUUUCUCCUUCUCUCUUCCUCCCACUCCCCUGGGGAUACAUCUUUUUAAUCUUUUCUGUAUGCAUAAAAUUAAAACAAAAAUUUCACAUUCAGCAAGAAAAAGAUUUUUUUCUGUCUUUAAAGAGACUUGUAUUAAUAUGAUUUUAAUGUAUAUACAGUAUUCUGUCAUAGAGAUGCAGAAUCAAUUAUUUACCCAAUCCUUUAUUUUGGAUAUUUAGAUUAUUUUCAAGUUUUGGGUACUAUAAAUAAUGCUGCAAUACACAUUAUUGUACUUGCAUAAUUUAUGUAUCUCUGAUUACUUCCUUAUUCUAAAUUCUUAGGAGGAUCAUUUUGGGGUCAAAGAUUAUAUAAGAAUUUAAAGCUUUUGUUACGUUUGGCUAAAUUACCUGCCAGGAAGAUGGCAUGAAUGUCCCACCCCUGUUUUUUUCCACAGCACAUUCUUUGCUGCCGAUGUUAGCACCCUGGUAGUAGGUUGGAUAGAACCACUGUGGCAACUCUGUUCCUUGGUACGGUUUAUAGGACCUAGCACAAUACUGGGUACACACUAGGCCCUCAGAAAUAUUUGCUGAUUUAAUAUCUUUCAGAAUGUAUUCUUUGAAACUCUGGGGUUGGUGGGAAACAAAAUCAUCAAAAUAUUAGUGUGCUUUCACCCCAAAUUAUAUCACUGACAUCUAGUAAAUAGUAAGGACUUGGGGAAUGGACAGGUGUGUUUUAAUAGAGAGGAAGGACUUGGGAAACCUCUGGAGGCUUCUAAAAGUGGGAAGCCAAAUCCAUCUGUGGUUUCUGGGAACAGACGGAAGGGGCCUGAAAAACUGAGGUUUACACAAGGAAGGUGUCUGGGGCAUUAGGGUUAUUGUUGGGAAGAUGGGAGAGAGGAACCCUUUUGCUUAAUACUGGCUUCACACCUACUCUGCCCCCCCUCAAGGACGCAGGAUGUUAAUCAGCCUGGUAGCUUUUAUGUAAAAAUUAGUGUGCCAACUUCUCCCAGCGGAAGUCUGGGCAUAAUUAUACUGAAUUGUGCUUUUAUGUUUUUAUUUGGGAGGGUCGCUUUUCAUCUGCCUUUGUAAGUUUUCCCUUUCAUGUCCUGCAUGUGGCUAUUACUAGUCAGUUGGGACCAGUGGCCAGAGGUCUGGGCUUCCCAUCAUUGCUGCUCUUUCCACUCUCUGCCUGAAAUACAAACAGGGCGGCUGACCACACAUGCCCCACUGCUCUCUGAGAGGAGCCUGCCAUGGUUUCAGAAAAGAGCGGGCCACAGCCAGCUCUGUUUAAUCACCAGAUUUGAUUAAAUAAUAAAAAUACAUGAGCUCUUGAAAAAUUAUUCCAGGCUCUUCUUGGAUGACUUCAUUUCAUUUCAUUUUUCUACAAACCUGGUAGGAUAGAUCCUUAUUAUCCCCAUUUUACAGUUGAGAAAAUGGAUUUAAUUAACUUACCUGGAUUCCCCAGUUAGUAUGUUGCAGAUCUAGGGUUUGAAAUUGGAUUUGAAAUCCCCUCUAUCUUAUCCCAAACACCUGCUGCUAAUCACUGCCUGAUCUGGAGCACACAGGGCAAUGUGCUGUUCUUGAAUCUAUUUUAUGCAUUGCAUGUCUUAUUUUCUUAGAUUCUACCAUUUGAGAUUUAAUCCCUUGGAUUGUGAAGGUUUUUCCUACCCAGAGAUUCCUUUUUAAAGGUGUCUAUCCAAAGGAGCAGCACUGGCUUAAGCACAGCAGAUAAUGUUUGGGUGGAGCAAAAUGGACUGUUAGCUAAUUCCUCCAAACAAAGGACAUGGGCAAUUAAUUUAGUUUCCUCAAGGUAAUAAGUUUUGGAGAAUCAGAGGGAUAGGAUAGAUUAGGUCAAGUAUGAAUUUGAUGUUGGUGCCCUCAGUGGUUUGCUACCAUUAAGAUAGCCAGCCUUCUGGGGCGUUCUCCACUAUGUUUGCAUUCCAGAUGAUGUUACAUACAAUAAACAAUGCAUUUUCAUUCUCA